GGAAGGAAAAGAAACCAACAGGGAUUGCCCUAGUAACGGCGAGUGAAGCGGCAACAGCUCAAAUUUGAAAUCUGGCGCAAGCCCGAGUUGUAAUUUGUAGAGGAUGCUUCUGGGUAGCGGCCGGUCUAAGUUCCUUGGAACAGGACGUCAUAGAGGGUGAGAAUCCCGUAUGUGACUGGCUUGCACCCUCCACGUAGCUCCUUCGACGAGUCGAGUUGUUUGGGAAUGCAGCUCUAAAUGGGAGGUAAAUUUCUUCUAAAGCUAAAUACCGGCCAGAGACCGAUAGCGCACAAGUAGAGUGAUCGAAAGAUGAAAAGCACUUUGGAAAGAGAGUUAAAAAGCACGUGAAAUUGUUGAAAGGGAAGCGCCCGCAACCAGACUUUGCGGCAGUGUUCGGCCGGUCUUCUGACCGGUUUACUCGCUGUCGUGAGGCCAUCAUCGUCUGGGACCGCUGGAUAAGACCUUAGGAAUGUAGCUCCCCUCGGGGAGUGUUAUAGCCUCUGGUGAUGCAGCGCGUCUCGGGCGAGGUCCGCGCUUCGGCAAGGAUGAUGGCGUAAUGGUUGUCGGCGGCCCGUCUUGAAACACGGACCAAGGAGUCUAACAUCUAUGCGAGUGUUCGGGUGUCAAACCCCUACGCGUAAUGAAAGUGAACGGAGGUGGGAACUUUUUGUGCACCAUCGACCGAUCCUGAUGUCCUCGGAUGGAUUUGAGUAAGAGCAUAGCUGUUGGGACCCGAAAGAUGGUGAACUAUGCCUGAAUAGGGUGAAGCCAGAGGAAACUCUGGUGGAGGCUCGCAGCGGUUCUGACGUGCAAAUCGAUCGUCAAAUUUGGGUAUAGGGGCGAAAGACUAAUCGAACCAUCUAGUAGCUGGUCUGC
rnacentral:rRNA from 1 species